GCGGUGCGCGCAGAAGGGUCUGGNCUCGAGCCUGCCUGGAGCCGCCGCCGGUGCAGAUCUUGGUGGUAGUAGCAAAUACUCCAGCGAGGCCCUGGAGGACUGAUGUGGAGAAGGGUUUCGUGUGAACAGCCGUUGCACACGAGUCAGUCGAUCCUAAGCCCUAGGAGAAAUCCGAUGCAAACGGCGAUGGGAAACGCACUGAACUCGAGAAUCAAAGAGACAGAGACCCAUUGAUCGGGCGAAAGGGAAUCCGGUUCCUAUUCCGGAACCCGGCAGCGGAACCGUUGUUUGUCGGGCCCUCGCAAGGGGUUCGUCAGGGCAACCUAAAAGGGCCCGGAGACGCCGUCGGGGGCCCCGGAAAGAGUUUUCUUUUCUGCAUGAGCGUUCGAGUUCCCUGGAAUCCUCUCGCANGGAGAUAGGGUUUGGAACGCGAAGAGCACCGCAGUUGCGGCGGUGCACGGGAAUUCCCGACGGACCUUGAAAAUCCGGGAGAGGGCCACGUGGAGGUGUCGCGCCGGCUCGUACCCAUAUCCGCAGCAGGUCUCCAAGGUGAAGAGCCUCUAGUC
rnacentral:rRNA from 1 species